AAGUUUUGCAAUCGGUUAUGUUAUUGUUUGGCAAUGUUUCUGAAUUUUAGGAUAUAAGAUACAUGUUCGAAAUACCCAAACUAGUGACUUAAAAAGAGAAGUCACUAUUUGAGAAUAGUGCAUAACACGUUUAUACGUUUCGUACUGCGCAAGAAGCGGGAGAGGUAGCAAAUCGGAGAGUUGCGUGCUGUUUUAUUCGGUGUUUGCUUCCUGUUUGUGAAUUUCGUAAAAAACUGCGUUUAUCUUACGUUUGACGAGGUCUUACGUGCUUGUGCACCCGACAAACAUUUUUUAGACUAUAUAAUGGGUUAAUAUUUUAGCUUUUAUAUUGGAAUGUUAUAUGACAGCUUAUAAAACACAUGGCAGACCAGAACAGUACAAAUUGUGAUGCACUUUGUGCAAAUGAUGAAGUUGAAAUUGAAAGUCUAAACAAGAGGUUGUUACAGUUAUUGUCUGUGACGAAAACUCCAUCAAAAGCUGAUGUUAAAAGUAGCACAUCUCAGCCAUUGUGUAAUAUUAAUAAUGAUAGUAGUGACAGCCUUAGAGAUGAAACUAAAGCAUCUAAUUCACAGAUGUUUAGUCAUUAUAAAUAUGAUUGUUCCUUUUUACAUCAUGAUGCGCCAGUUAAUUUGUCUACUGUACCAAAUUAUCUACCACCCAUUGGUGUAUUUUGGGACAUAGAAAAUUGUCAUGUUCCGAAAGGAAGGUCUGCCAUAGCUGCAACACAAGUAAUUAGGGAAAAAUUUUUUAGUGGUUAUAGGGAAGCAGAAUUUAUUGUGGUAUGUGAUGUUUGUAAAGAGAAUAGUCAAGUUGUAAAAGAAUUGAAUGAUGCUCAGGUCAAUCUAAUACAUGUAGCGAAAAGAUGUAAAAAUGCUGCUGAUGAGAAGCUUAAGCAAUCUAUUAGGAGAUUUGCUGAUAUUCAUGGAAGUCCAGCAGCUGUAAUUUUAAUAUCUUGUGAUAUUAAUUUUGCUGCGGAUCUUAGUGAUUUACGUUACAGAAAGAAAAUUCAUGUGAUACUUUUACAUAUGAAGAAUACAUCUGAAGCAUUAAUAGUAUGUGCUAAUGAGCAUUAUGAUUUUUUAGAACUUAUGGAAUCACUGCCGUCCAGGACUGUAAAGGUUGCUGUACAUUAUGACCUUCUAGUUAGCAACCUUCCUGAAGAUCAAAAUGUUGUAUCCAUUAAACGUCGUCUAAAGCAAUUAUCUGAAAAUUGUGGUGGCCGAGUAGUAGAAAUUCAAUCAAGUACUGCAAUUGUCCGCUUUACUUCAAAAAUCUUUGCUAUCAGGGCUCAGAAACGUAUGGAUGGCGAGAUUGUCCUUGGUUCGAAAAUUUGUGUAAAAUUUCAAAAAGAGAAAAGGAAUAAUUUCCAUAAAAUUCAAGGAAAUUCUACAGGAAAGAAUACUUCUAUAAGUGAAUCAGAAAUUGUUACUAGUUCUCCUAAACAAAUGUAUAGUGCGAGCGCUUCGUUAGCGGCUGGGAGAGCCCUUCAUGUUCCACAUUAUCAAUCUUCGUCACCUGUUAUUGGAGCAUAUUCCGGAUGGAGUGCUCACUGUGCUCCUGUUCCAGCGCCACCAGGAAUAAUACAACCGCCAUCUAUUUUUGUUGGGAGACCAUAUUCAAAUAAUAAUAAUGUAAGUUUUAAUAGAAAUUACAAUGAAUUAUCAAGGGUCCAAUCUCCACUGCUUUGGCAAAUUUCUGGUUCUCAACAAUUUAGUCAUAUGUGGGAAGAACAGUAUAAAGUGGAAAAGACAAAAGUACUUAGUAGAAGGAUUCAUAUCCCGCAGGCUCGGGAUAAUGGAGUAGCGAGUAAUACAUCUUCUCGUACUCCUGAAAAUUUAAGACGUAUUAGAGGAACGCACACGUCUUUUGUUCAGUCUGCUGAAUGGACUGGAUCAAGGCAACAACAUCCUUCAUUAAAUACUUCAUCAAGUUUCAAUGGAACUGGUCAUGCUCAGCCAAAUUUUAAUCGUCGUAGUCCAUCUCCAUUGUGUGACCUGCAACCAAGAGAACGACAACAGUGGAAUGGACAGAAUCAACACUCUGUACCUUCACGAAGUUCUAGAACGCCUUCACCUUAUGAGAAUACAGUACAAACAGCAAACCAACAAAACAGUCACACUUCACCUUAUCAUUUAGGUGAUGUAGAAAGCGAAGAAGUUGAGAAAUUUUUCAAUCCAAUAAAUAAUCAUAAUGGAAGUUCGGUGAGCAACGAAACAUGUACACCUAUCGAAUUGCAAGUAACUAAUUUAGACCAAAGUAUUAACCCAAAAAAAAUGCGACACAUGCUUGCCUCUAUUUUCUUAGAACAUGUGAUGGUGUUAAAUGUUUCUAUGUUUACGCAAUCUGAUGGUAACUUUGCAGCAAGCGUUAAAGUACCUUCUUUAUCAGAUGCGCAGUACGCAAUUUCUCAAUUACAUCGUCGUAAAGUAGGAUAUAAACGUAUUUUAAUAGCGUAUGCUCACAGCGGUAGAGCAAGCCCUCAAGUUGUGCGAGCUCAAAUCGUAAUGUUGUUGCAAGAAGUACCAGGCCAUAAACUUCCACUUUUUAAAUUUCGAGAAAUGUACGAGUGUCGUUUUAUGAUUUCCAUCAGCGUAUCCGAACUAUAUAAAAUGAAAGAUGUUUGUAUUGUGACGGAAGAUCCUGGCGGUAGAAUGGUAUCCCUCAAUCCAGAUCACAGGAACACUCCAUCGCCAUGUUUCAAUACUACAACUCAGGAGGAACAAGUAGAGUUACCCUAUUGUACUAUUCAUACGUUAAAACCGUGGUCGGAUAAAGGAUGGGCUGAACAGAAAGUAGCGUCGCUUCCAAACGUGAGAAUUUCGCUGAAAGUUCUUGAUCCACGUAUACAUCAAUUGCUGACGAUGCAUAAUGGAAGCUUACCAUUGCCUAGUUUGCCAAAUUGUUAUGAAGCUGAAUUUAAAGAAAAAUUACAAGUCUGUGAAAAUGGAGUACCUUUAGAACACUUAGUAUCCUGCUUAUCAUGUGUUGAAUUAAAACAGGGUAUUGGUAGUGUGAAAUACCUUAUUUGGACCGGGAAUAAAACUCACGAUAGUAAUCACGAAGAAAACAAGUGUGUGAGUCCUCCCCUUGCAAAUCAGUUAGCACUUUUUAGUCGUGAAUUAGUUGAUCUAUUAAAAACUGCUCCACAUUGCCAAUUGCCAUUUAAUAGAUUUAUACCUGCAUACCAUCAUCAUUUUGGAAGGCAAUGCAGGGUUGCAGAUUAUGGGUUCACUAAACUUAUCGACUUACUAGAAGCUCUUACUCAUACUGUGCAGGUAAUGGGCGAAGGAAAUAAUCGUGUAGUAACAUUAUCGCAUCGUGCACAAGUACGUCGUUUUACGUCAGAUCUAUUAAGAGUUUUAAAGUCCAAAGCUAGUAAACAAGUAGCACUCUCAGAAUUCCCAAGUGUUUAUUCCAGAGUAAUAGCUAAACCGUGGGAUAUUGUGGAUUAUGGUGUAUGCGAAAUUGAGGAUAUUCUUAGCGAGGUAUCAGAAAAUACUGUCGUGGUUACUACGAUUAGUGGUGGAGAUAAAAUGAUAGCGAUUCCUAAACGGGAACAAACAGCGGAAGAAAUGGAACGAACAAAGCAAUUCGCAGUCGAGGUAAUAGAACUACUGCGGCACGCUCCUCAAUGUAGAAUGCAAUUCAAUAAAUUUGUACCAUCGUAUCAUCACCAUUUCGGCCAUCAGUGUCGCGUAUCAGAUUAUGGUUUCACUAAAUUAAUCGAAUUGUUUGAAGCUAUACCAGAAGUAGUUAAAAUAGAAGAUGACAAUUCUGGCGAAAGACAAAUUUCUUUAACUGAAAAAGAAGGCCUCCGCGUACUUUCUGAACAAAUAUCGAAGUUAGUCACGCGAUCGAAAGGUUGUCUUAGCAUUACAAGCAUCGCUCAACAUUUCUUAAGACAAUUUGGUUAUGCAUUGAAACCAGAAUUAUUUGGAUGCACGUCCAUAUUGCAACUUAUGCAAAAACUUGGAAACACUGUAAAGAUCAUGCAUCUGACAACUGGACCUACAAUUGUAAUGAUUAACAAGUCUCACUUGCAACAACUGACUUUGCAAUGUCGUCGGUUGUUAAUGGAUAGAGCACAAAAUAAGAUGCCACUUAAGGAGUUUCAACAAUUAUAUGUUCAGUAUUACUUAAAAUCGUGUAAUAUAGAUGAACUCAAGCAAAACUUGUCGAAUGUUGUUCAAUUUUCAAUGGUGAACGAUGAAGAAUUUAUACAACUUACUUCGUUACAUUCUUUCGCUUGUAAUUUAUAUCGAGUCAUGAUGAAUCAUGGUGGAACAUUGAAAUUCUCACAGUUUGAGACUGCAUAUUUAUCUACUAUAGGAUCUGUCUGCAAACCUGCAGAGUAUGGUUAUCCAACAAUUUUUUCACUCCUGCAGGCUUUACCUUGUACAGUAACGAUAAAAUUAUCACGGCGAAAAAAGUAUAUUAUAUAUCUGAACAGGAACAUAGCUGUUGCUGGUAUGCCAUUACCACCAACUUACACAUCAGCAUCGUCGUAUCGUGAUACGGAUUCUAGUAACGAAUCGUUUGAAAGCGAUUCGUCUUUUCGUAUUAACGUUUCUAGUAAUUCAAUUACAUCAGAGGAGCGUGCAAAAUGGGCAGGACAAACUGUUGAGAAUCAAAGUUCUUGGAAGCAGACUGAUGAGAAUAAUUUAUGGUCGAAAGAAUCUGAAAAAUCAUGGAAAUCAUCAGCUUCAGAAAAUCAGUUAGCUAGUUGGUCGUUACAAGAAAAUGGAAGUGAAAGUUUUAUUAAAAAUUUAAUGCAUACUUCAAUUAUAUCGCGUGGUUUUCCACCUCCACCUCCUAAACCAGAUUCUCCACCUGAGGAAAAUUUGAACAAAAACCAAUGGGAUUCAUCAGUUUGGAUGACUCCAACAAAGUUUAUGUAUCCACAGGAGGAACAUCCUACUAAUGUGCAGGUUCCCCCUAUCACAUUACCUCCUUCUUGGAAUCAACUUGUGUCCAGUGAUAGUGCAUCCAGUUUACUAUCGCCAACAAAAAAUUUGUUACCAGCUGCAGCAAAUCCUUUAAACCCACGUACUUCACCCUACUAUUCCUCUAAACUUAAUUUAGUUGUCGCUCCUCAUCCUUCUGAGUUGCCACUACCUUCGUUAUCCUUAACUCCUAAGAAAAAUGUUAUGUCCAAUGAAACUCCCCUAAAAAAAUCAGAAAAUAUUAAUAAUUCAGCAGAAGAAAUGACUCUUAAAAACAAUGGAAAUGAUAGCAAUAGCGUGGAAGAUGAUAACGAUAAGGAAAAAUAUAAUACUCCUGUAAAGCAGUCGUUUACGAGUAAACGUCGUUUAGCUGCUCAGUUUAAUCGACCUAUUGAGUCGUGAAGAAUAAAGUGAAGUAGGAAAAGUGUACAAACGCAUCAAGUACGCUAAAGAAGUGAAGAUUACCAGCAUCGAAAACAUCAUGUAGUGUGUUGAUAUAAUUAAUAAAGGAGGAAUUUAUAGCAUCUCGGUAGGCUGUCACACAGCGGGUCAAUACCUACACACCAUUCCUCCGAAUGAUGAGUCUAUACAAUGAUGCAAACACAGUUUUAUCAGAAACUGAGAUAUAUAUGUUACAUCAGUUAACAAUCUAUGCAUAUUUAUUAUUCA
rnacentral:misc_RNA from 1 species